GGACCAAGCUGGCACCAGUGCCAACUUGGGCUGGUUUGAGAGUGCCAAGUACCUCCUGCAAACUGACACCAUCAACUAGGGUUGGAUGCCUCCCAGGACCAAGCUGGCACCAGUGCCAACUCAGGCUGGUUUGAGAGUGCCAAGUACCUCCUGCAAACUGACACCAUCAACUAGGGUUGGAUGCCUCCCAGGACCAAGCUGGCACCAGUGCCAAGUCAGGCUGGUUUGAGAGUGCCAAGUACCUCCUGCAAACUGACACCAUCAACUAGGGUUGGAUGCCUCCCAGGAACAAGCUGGCACCAGUGCCAACUCAGGCUGGUUUGAGAGUGCCAAGUACCUCCUGCAAACUGACACCAUGAACUAGGGAUGCCUCCCAGGACCAAGCUGGCACCAGUGCCAACUCAGGCUGGUUUGAGAGUGCCAAGUACCUCCUGCAAACUGACACCAUGAACUAGGGUUAGUGAGUUUUGCUUACCUGGGAAAAGGGGCGGUUUUUUGUUCCAGGGCCGGUGGCUCAGAGCAGCCUUCUGGCUUUUAAAAUUCCGCAUAUCGCAGGAUGCCUCCCAGGACCAAGCUGGCACCAGUGCCAAGUCAGGCUGGUUUGAGAGUGCCAAGUACCUCCUGCAAACUGACACCAUCAACUAGGGUUGGAUGCCUCCCAGGACCAAGCUGGCACCAGUGCCAACUCAGGCUGGUUUGAGAGUGCCAAGUACCUCCUGCAAACUGACACCAUCAACUAGGGUUGGAUGCCUCCCAGGACCAAGCUGGCACCAGUGCCAACUUGGGCUGGUUUGAGAGUGCCAAGUACCUCCUGCAAACUGACACCAUCAACUAGGGUUGGAUGCCUCCCAGGACCAAGCUGGCACCAGUGCCAACUCAGGCUGGUUUGAGAGUGCCAAGUACCUCCUGCAAACUGACACCAUCAACUAGGGUUGGUGAGUUUUAUUUCCCAG